rnacentral:rRNA from 1 species
UCCACACCGUACACGAUGAAUGCCAAACGUCGGGCACAAUGCUGUUCGGUGUCACACCUACCGGAUUAUUCAUCAUUCCUGCUGAGGAGUACGGCCGCAAUGUUAAAACUCAAAGGAAUUGACGGGGGCCCGCACAAGCGGUGGAGCGUGUGGUUUAAUUCGAAGCAACGCGCAGAACCUUACCAAGCCUUGACAUGGGUAUCGCGGCCUCAGAGAUGAGGCUUUCAGUUCGGCUGGAUACCACACAGGUGCUGCAUGGCUGUCGUCAGCU